rnacentral:rRNA from 1 species
GGCGAGAGACGAUAGCGAACAAGUACCGUGAGGGAAAGAUGAAAAGAACUUUGAAAAGAGAGUUAAACAGUACGUGAAAUUGUUGAAAGGGAAACGAUUGAAGUCAGUCAUACUAACGGGAAAUCAACCUCUUGAGUUUGGUCUCGUGGGUUUCGAAAAGUUUUAAAAGCCUGCGGAUUUUCGAGAUUGGGCUCUUCUGGUGUACUUUCUCGUGCGGUUAGUCAACAUCGGUUUUGAAUGUCAUAAAAUGA